AUACGGAGGGUGCAAGCGUUGUCCGGAUUUAUUGGGUUUAAGGGGUACGUAGGUGGAUUCUUAAGUCCGUGGUGAAAGCCCGCAGCUCAACUGCGGAACUGCCAUGGAUACUGGGAAUCUUGAAUUCAGUUGAGGUUGGCGGAAUUUAUGGUGUAGCGGUGAAAUGCAUAGAUACCAUAAAGAACACCUAUUGCGAAGGCAGCUAACUGGACUUGAAUUGACACUGAGGUACGAAAGCGUGGGGAGCGAACAGGAUUAGAAACCCUUGUAGUCC
rnacentral:rRNA from 1 species